AUAAGAAACUUAAAUACCUUGUAGGCACCUGUUCCCAUCUGAAUUUGGAAGGUAAACAGAGUCAGUCCUGGUGGGUAUUUGGAUGAGAGAUCAUCCAUGAAUACCAGGUGCUGUACGCU
rnacentral:rRNA from 1 species